rnacentral:lncRNA from 1 species
GAAGUGGUAAACGUCUGAGACCUGCAUCACUUCGGGCUUUCCUCCCACAUUAAGCUGACACGCCGCGAUAUAACUGGAAUACUGUUAAAAGCGGCGUUAAACCCAACUCACCUACUCACUCACUAGGGUGGCAUGGGUGACCGGUCACCCAAGGUCUCCAAUUCACUGUGCAGAGAUUCAUCUCUUGGGCAUGCCAGAGACCUUGAUCUUGACUUUGAAUUCCAGUUUGCCCCAAUUUUGUUUCUAAGUUUGUCAGCACCGUGCUCGUGGGUUUCACCAGUGGUAAAUUUCUGAGACCUGCAUCACUACGGCUUUUCCUCCCACAUUAAACUAAUAUGCUGUCAUAACUGGAAAAGUGUUCAAAGUGGCGCUAAAGCCAACCCACUCAGUCACUCACUACUGUAUCUAUUAGAAGGUGAUAGAACUUUACCAAGUAAUGUCGGUUGUUUGGGAUGGGACAUUUUGUUUGUUUACUGAUCAGAUAUGAAUAUUGUGUAGUGAUUGUGAAUUUGUUUCUAUUCCUGCUUGUCUGCCGGUAUGUUUUUUGUAUUCACUCUUCAUCAGCUAUUGUCAGUUGGGAUGUUGUACAGCAUCGUAAGCUGUAGCAGGAUCACUCAGGGUACAUGGGGUUUAUGCAUCCAACGUUAGAUUUUAUACCACAAGCCUCUGGCUACACAGUAUUUUAUCAAGAUCAUAUGGAGCAAUCAGAUCUCAUCAUUCUGACAUGGGGGCGGUCGGGUAGCCUAGUGGUUAAAGCGUUAGCUCGUCACACCGAAGACCCGGGUUCGAUUCCCGACAUGGGUACAAUAUGUGAAGCCCAUUUCUGGUGUCCCCCGAUGUAAACAUUCUUUCAAUCCAACUUGCAAUCCAAACAAUCACUUUAGCCUCAGACAUCCUGGAUUCUGAGCCCGACAGAGGCCGACAUUUUACUACCAACCAAGAGAACAGAACCAACUUGGGUACGUGUUCCUGCAGUACAAGACAAAAUCUCACCAUUCACCUGUAAAUCCAUUCAAAUCCUCCGAUAACUUUAUUUGAUAACACCGAAUCCCCUGCACUUAAAACAUUAGACGUACAACCCGCAAUCAUCGAACUCAUAAACAGAUGCCUCAAUGAGACAGAACUCAGGCCUUCAUGAUGGGAUUUACCUUAUUUGCUCCCCCGUUUGUCUCUGUAGUAAAGGGGUAGAGGCGUAGCCCAGUGGUUAAAGUGUUUGCACAUCACACCUAAGGCCUGGGUUCGAUUUCCCACAUGGGUACAAUGUGUGAAGACCAUUUCUAGUGUCUAGUGAUAUUGCUAGAAUAUUGCUAAAAGGGGCGUAAAAAACAUUCUCACUCACUCACUCUAUAGUAAGGUGUGAAUUUGGUACAUUUGUUAUACAAGUGCAUCUAACCAAUAGAAUGCACAUUGAUUAAAUCAUUCAGAUAUUUUAACUACAGAAACAGAUCAGCAGAUAUCCUUCCUGUGUGUAAAUACAGGCACAUACUGUAUGUAUUUUGCACAAUCACUGAUUACACAUGGAACACAAUGACAAGAUAUAUACAUUUCUCACCUUUUGUGUUUUCAAUAUUUCUUGGACCCAGUAAAGCUUGUCAGCUUUUUUCCAUAUCGCUUUCUUUGUUGGAUUUUCAUGUCAUUAUUUGGAUUUUCUUUUUUAUUGUUUCUUUUGACUGUGAACAAUGUUUUUACUUUCCAUUCAUUAGGAAUCUGUCAUACACUUUCUAUACACUGUGUACAGUUUGGGAAACUUAUGAGCACAAUACAGUCAUACUUGUAUAGGGUAAACUUACAUUGCUGGCUUCAGUCCUCGUGUUUUAUCAGCAAAAUACAGUCAGGUGACAAAUAUUUGUAAAUAUUCAGUUUGAGAUGAGUUUAUGGUGUGUGAUCCAGUUGAUCAGUGCCUGAUCUAUCUUGUUUGGAGGCAGAGCAUUUUGAAAAAAAUUCAGUUUUCUAAUCCUGAGGGAGAGGGUAGGCUGUCCACCUGUCUUUCCCUACAUAGUUACAUCAGUUACUUCGAUAAAACUCAAAACUUGAUUUUAAAAUUGAAGUCCAAACUACCAAUAGCUUUGUCUGAGUCAACCUCUAUAUUCAACAAACUCACCAAGUGCCAGCCACAAGAAGGUUGCAGCUAGUUGUAACUUGGAAAAUGUGUUAAUGUCCUCGUGAACCUCAAAUGCAGCAACUCAAACAGGUUGCUUAAUGUGUUUGUUGGAUUUCAACCAUGGUUGCUUCAAGGCCAUCUUCCUGAGGCAAGGGAAUUACCUGACUAUAAAAGUCCACUUUCCUCCCUUGCUGACCUAGGCUGGAAUUAUAGAUUGAAGGAUUUGCAAAGCAUGUGUACCGUCAAUUUAGCAUAAACAUAUUCCAAAUCUUUUCAGGUUUUUUUAUCAAGGUGCUCAUGCAUUAUUAAGGUGCUCAUGUGAUUUGAUGCACUUUGUGAAGUAAGACUUGAGGUAUCUUGAGGACUUGAAGUAUCUUGAGUAUCGAUCAGAUCAUCUUCACUGCGCGUCGCCAUUUUGUUUGAAGCAAAUGCAAGUGAUAUGAGAGGUGGAAUCUGAUCGGUCAAUAGGAGGGACAUAGAAGGGUCAUAACUCGUAAUAGCCACUGGUGGCGCUACGAACGAGCUUAGGAAUUCCAGCCUAGUUCGGCAAGGGUGGAAACUGGACUUUAUGAAUUAUAGUCAGGUAACUCUCUUGCUCAGAAAGAUGUUUUAAGGCAAGCUUUCUUGCAAAUGUUGACUUUCAUUGAUGGGAAAACUUGGUUUAUGAAAUGACUUUUGAAAUAGGUUUAUGAAAUAUAACUCAAAAAGGAAACUUGAGAUCAGGCAGAGUUUGGUCAACACACACCUUAGGUUAUUGUGGCAUGCUAAAUGUGGGAGAUGGAGUGGCUUUUGAUAUUGGCAUGUAGUUUGUCUUUGCCUAAGCUUUAUGUACUCACCAACAAAAGAAACAGGAGUACCAUACAUGUUGGUUAAUAUAUGAAGAAUUUAGAUUUUAGAUUGGUUUGGUGCACAAACGAACAUACUGUUAUGUUGUGUGAACCAACACUCAUGAUCGCAUGGAACCAUAACUUGAAAUGCACCAUUUGUCUCGUGCAGAACUAGCGUGUAAAGUUUGAAAUCAUGUGCAGUAUAUGUGAUAAGAAUACAGACACAGUGGUAAUACUUGACAGAUUGUUAGUUGUGUCAUUAAGUGGUACACAUUGGAAACAUCUCUUAACGUAUAUACUUCUCUAUAUGUUUCUAGGGUUUGCGUUUCUUUUGGCGGCGAGUAUAUUAUCCCUGGAUACUUGUGCUUGUACUGAGGUUAAUAAAACAGUUCUCUUGUGAAGUAAUUAGCAUUUAUGCUCACUAAUUAAUCAACCUGUGAAGGUAUGGGGUAGAAUAGGUCUUCAGCAGCCCAUGCUUGCCAUAAAGGCGACUAUGCUUGUCGUAAGAUUAACGGGAUCGGGUGAUCAAGCUUGUUGACUUGGUCGAUUCAUGUUAUCGAUUUCAAUUGCGUGGAUCGAUGCUCAUGAUAUCAAUCACUGAAUUGUCUAGUCCAUACGAUUAUUUACAGACCGCCAUCAUAUAGCUGGAAUAAUGCUGAGUGCAGCGUAAAACAACAAUCAAACCAAACCAAACUGAUUAAUCUGAGCUCUCUGAUAUAUCUGAAGUAAUAAGGCAGCCUUAUGAAUCACUCAUGCUUAGCUUGUCUACAGUUUGAUAAAGCUCACUCCUUAUCUCAAGUUCUGUAUUAGACGAGUCAGUACUCACCCCAACCUCUGACUUGGGCAUAGCUAAAGCUGUGUUAAGUAACAGUGAUUCUCAGUGUGUUCUUUUCAUAUUUUCUUCAUCAGUUUUACAUCAGGAAGUAGUUUGAAGCCAACCUUAGAUUUGUUUCUUUUCUUGUGAUACGUGCUAAGACUGGAAUACUGAUAAAACCUACGUUAAACACAACUCAUUCUGUUGCUGUGGAUAUGAAGGUAAUACGUGCUAAGACUGGAAUACUGAUAAAACCUACGUUAAACACAACUCACUCUGUUGCUGUGGAUAUGAAGGUAAUACGUGCUAAGACUGGAAUACUGAUAAAACCUGCGUUAAACUCAACUCAUUCUGUUGCUGUGGAUAUGAAGGUAAUACGUGCUAAGACUGGAAUACUGAUAAAACCUGCGUUAAACACAACUCAUUCUGUUGCUGUGGAUAUGAAGGUAAUACGUGCUAAGACUGGAAUACUGAUAAAACCUGCGUUAAACACAACUCACUCUGUUGCUGUGGAUAUGAAGGUAAUACGUGAUAAGACUGGAAUACUGAUAAAACCUACGUUAAACACAACUCACUCUGUUGCUGUGGAUAUGAAGGUAAUACGUGCUAAGACUGGAAUACUGAUAAAACCUACGUUAAACACAACUCACUGUUGCUGUGGAUAUGAAGGUAAUACGUGCUAAGACUGGAAUACUGAUAAAACCUGCGUUAAACACAACUCGCUCCGUUGCUGUGGAUAUGAAGGUAAUACGUGCUAAGACUGGAAUACUGAUAAAACCUACGUUAAACACAACUCACUCCGUUGCUGUGGAUAUGAAGGUAAUACGUGCUAAGACUGGAAUACUGAUAAAACCUGCGUUAAACACAACUCACUCUGUUGCUGUGGAUAUGAAGGUAAUACGUGCUAAGACUGGAAUACUGAUAAAACCUACGUUAAACACAACUCACUGUUGCUGUGGAUAUGAAGGUAAUACGUGCUAAGACUGGAAUACUGAUAAAACCUGCGUUAAACACAACUCACUCUGUUGCUGUGGAUAUGAAGGUAACCAAGGUGUGAACCCAUUUCUGGUGUCCCCUGCCAUGAUAUUGCUGGAAUAUUGCUAAAAGCGGCCAAAAACCAUACUCUCUCAUGAAGGUAAAAGUCUCAACUCCUGUCCCAUAGUUCAUGUAUGUUUGUAUACAAGAAGAUAUAUCCGAGAACCUUGCAUGUGAUUGUCACCCAAGGAUCUUCAAGUAUCUAAUGAUCAGUUUUAUUUUGCCGUCUUAUCUUCUCUGGUCGUAUGUGUUGAAGUAAAGCAUAUCGUUUUGAGUUGUGGGUAUGUGUCUUGUGUAAGUCACGUGUGGUGUCUCCAGCUCACAUGUGCCCAGUAUCCCUGUUAUGUACUUGUCAUGUUGACUAUUCCAAAUAAAGGUAGAUAUAUUCCCAAGCUUGUGUCCAUUGAUCACAUGUUGAAUGGAACUGAAACAUAGUACAUGGGCACUGAGGAUAUGUAAUAGUGAUUUAUUUACAUCAAUAAAAAAGACGUUUGUGAACAAUUAACUUGGAAGCAGAAAUAAAACUGUGUGUACACAAUUUA